rnacentral:rRNA from 1 species
GAUGAACGCUAGCUACAGGCUUAACACAUGCAAGUCGAGGGGUAGCAGGGUAGCAAUACCGCUGACGACCGGCGCACGGGUGAGUAACACGUAUCUAACCUUCCCAUAACUCGGGGAUAGCCUUUCGAAAGAAAGAUUAAUACCCGAUAGUACUUAUGUAAGGCAUCUUAUUUAAGUUAAAGAUUUAUUGGUUAUGGAUGGGGAUGCGUUCCAUUAGAUAGUUGGUGAGGUAACGGCUCACCAAGUCUUCGAUGGAUAGGGGUUCUGAGAGGAAGGGCCCCCACAAUGGUACUGAGGCACGGACCAAACUCCUACGGGAGGCAGCAGUGAGGAAUAUUGGUCAAUGGGCGAGAGCCUGAACCAGCCAAGUAGCGUGAAGGAUGAAGGUCCUAUGGAUUGUAAACUUCUUUUAUAGUAGAAUAAAGUUAGCAACGUGUGGUUAUUUGUAUGUAUACUAUGAAGAAGGAUCGGCUAACUCCGUGCCAGCCGCCGCAGUAAUAC